rnacentral:rRNA from 1 species
AGCAGCCGCGGUAAUUCCAGCUCCCAUAGCGUAUAUUAAAGUUGUUGCAGUUAAAAAGCUCGUAGUUGAAUUUCGGAAUCUGUCCAUCGGUCGAGCUUCACUGUUCGUACUGGUGUGGUGGGUUCUUACCUUCUGAAUAACCAGCAUGCCAUUCACUUGGUGCGUUGGGGAAGCAGGACUAUUACCUUGAAAAAUUAGAGUGCUCAAAGCAGGCCAGCGCCUGAAUACAUUAGCAUGGAAUAAUAAAAUAGGACGGCUUGGUUCUAUUUUGUUGGUUUCUAGGAUCACCGUAAUGAUUAAUAGGGAUAGGUUAGGGGCAUUAGUAUUCAAUUGUCAGAGGUGAAAUUCUUGGAUUUAUUGAAGUACUAACUUCUGCGAAAGCAUUUGCCAAGGAUGUUUUCAUUAAUCAAGAACGAAAGUUAGGGGAUCGAAGACGAUCAGAUACCGUCGUAGUACUUAACCAUAAACUAUAGCCGUACUAGGGA